GAAAUGCGAUAAUUCAUGUGAAUUGCAGAAUUCAGUGGAUCAUCGAGUCUUUGAACGCACAUUGCGCCCACUCGUAUUCCGGGGGGCCUGCCUGUCCGACCGACAUUGCUGACCUCAAGCACGGCUUGUGUGUUGGGCUUCCGUCCCUGGCAACGGGGACGGGCCCAAAAGGCAGUGGCGGCACCAUGUCUGGUUCUCGAGCGUAUGGGGCUUUGUCACCCGCUCCCGUAGGUCCAGCUGGCAGCUAGCCUCGCAACCAUUCUUUUUAACCAGGUUUACCUCGGAUCAGGUAGGGAUACCCGCUGAACUUAA
rnacentral:misc_RNA from 1 species